rnacentral:tRNA from 1 species
GCCCCGUUACGCAAACGGCAAAGCGGCAUUCCACAAAGGAAUGUGUGUGCGAGUUCAACUCUCGCACGGGGUA